GCAGUCGAGCGGUAGAGAGGUGCUUGCACCUCUUGAGAGCGGCGGACGGGUGAGUAAAGCCUAGGAAUCUGCCUGGUAGUGGGGGAUAACGCUCGGAAACGGACGCUAAUACCGCAUACGUCCUACGGGAGAAAGCAGGGGACCUUCGGGCCUUGCGCUAUCAGAUGAGCCUAGGUCGGAUUAGCUAGUUGGUGAGGUAAUGGCUCACCAAGGCGACGAUCCGUAACUGGUCUGAGAGGAUGAUCAGUCACACUGGAACUGAGACACGGUCCAGACUCCUACGGGAGGCAGCAGUGGGGAAUAUUGGACAAUGGGCGAAAGCCUGAUCCAGCCAUGCCGCGUGUGUGAAGAAGGUCUUCGGAUUGUAAAGCACUUUAAGUUGGGAGGAAGGGCAUUAACCUAAUACGUUAGUGUUUUGACGUUACCGACAGAAUAAGCACCGGCUAACUCUGUGCCAGCAGCCGCGGUAAUACAGAGGGUGCAAGCGUUAAUCGGAAUUACUGGGCGUAAAGCGCGCGUAGGUGGUUCGUUAAGUUGGAUGUGAAAUCCCCGGGCUCAACCUGGGAACUGCAUUCAAAACUGUCGAGCUAGAGUAUGGUAGAGGGUGGUGGAAUUUCCUGUGUAGCGGUGAAAUGCGUAGAUAUAGGAAGGAACACCAGUGGCGAAGGCGACCACCUGGACUGAUACUGACACUGAGGUGCGAAAGCGUGGGGAGCAAACAG
rnacentral:rRNA from 1 species